GGACGUGUGGCCUAGUGGACCAAGGCGGGAGGUUCCUAACCUCCAGAGCGUGGGUUCGAAUCCCAUCACGUCCG
rnacentral:tRNA from 2 species